rnacentral:rRNA from 1 species
UACGGCGAGUGAGCGGCAAGAGCUCAACUUUGGAAUCGCUCCGGCGAGUUGUAGUCUGGAGGUGGCCACCACGAGGUGUUCUAGCAGCAGGCAAGUCCUUUGGAACAAGGCGCCAGCGAGGGUGACAGCCCCGUACCUGCUUUUGCUAGUGCUUCCUGUGGCCCACCGACGAGUCGAGUUGUUUGGGAAUGCAGCUCUAAGUGGGUGGUAAAUUCCAUCUAAGGCUAAAUAUUGGCGAGAGACCGAUAGCGAACAAGUACAGUGAUGGAAAGAUGAAAAGCACUUUGAAAAGAGAGUGAAACAGUACGUGAAAUUGUUGAAAGGGAAGGGCUUGCACCCAGACACGGUUUCGGCCGGGCCAGCAUCAAGUAGAACGGGGUUAAAAGACUUGGGGAAUGUAGCUACUUCGGUAGUGUUAUAGCCCUUGGUGAUGACCCCUGUUUUGCUUGAGGACAGCGGUCUCUAGGAUGCUGGCGCAAUGGUUGCAAGCCACCC